rnacentral:lncRNA from 1 species
CAUGGCCAUGUUUCCAUUGAUUCCUCAGGAAACAGGCACUUGAUCAAUUUCCAAAUAUUACAUGUUUUAGUAGAUCCAUGAAAAAGGGCGAAAGGUGGUGAAUCGAGAUUAGGGCUUGUUUGGCCUUUAAUACAUCUAAAACAACGUUUCUUCUAGAAAACGCCACACUCGCCUUCCAAGACUUUAGUUCAGAAGCUCUUGAGAAGUUUCUCUUGACUUGAUGUCAAACCAUCCACGCAACUUUGCCUAGCAACAAAACUGCGCAACUUAGCAAGCGCAAACAGACCCAGAAAAGAGUCGCAACGAGGAAGAGAGAUCCAGAGAUGAAGCAAGCCCUGGUAAAGUAAAAGAAAAUGGUAGCAAUGAGGAAGAACAAGGGCCAUGUCGUCGCAGUACCUUUCCCGGCCCAAGGCCAUAUGUCGCCAAUGCUCCAUCUUUGCAAGCGCAUCGCGGCCGAUGGCUACCGCGUCUCGUUCGUCAAUCCCAGCAGCAUACACGAGCAGAUGGUCCGCCACUGGAAGCCAUCGCCAGGCCUGGACAUCCACCUGGAUCAGCUCCCAUUCUCAGUCCACAUCCCCCACGGCAUGGACACUUACGCAGCGCUCAACUUGAGCUGGUUCUUCGACGAGCUCCCCA